GAUGAAGAACGUAGCAAAAUGCGAUAAGUAGUGUGAAUUGCAGAAUUCAGUGAAUCAUCGAAUCUUUGAACGCACAUUGCGCCCCUUGGUAUCCCGAGGGGCAUGCCUGUUCGAGCGUCAUUUCACCACUCAAGCCUGGCUUGGUGUUGGGCGACGUCCCCUUUAGGGACGCGCCUCGAAACGCUCGGCGGCGCGGCACCGGCUUUAAGCGUAGCAGAAUCUUUCGCUUUGGAAGUCGGGGCCCCGCCUGCCGGAAUACCUACUUGUAAGGUUGACCUCGGAUCAGGCAGGGAUACCCGCUGAACUUAAGCAUAUCAAUAAGCGGAGGA
rnacentral:misc_RNA from 1 species